GUGGGGAAUUUUGGACAAUGGGGGCAACCCUGAUCCAGCCAUGCCGCGUGAGUGAAGAAGGCCUUCGGGUUGUAAAGCUCUUUCAGGUGGAAAGAAAUCGCAUCUUUUAAUACAGGGUGUGGAUGACGGUACCAUCAGAAGAAGCACCGGCUAACUACGUGCCAGCAGCCGCGGUAAUACGUAGGGUGCGAGCGUUAAUCGGAAUUACUGGGCGUAAAGCGUGCGCAGGCGGUUAUGUAAGACAGAUGUGAAAUCCCCGGGCUCAACCUGGGAACUGCGUUUGUGACUGCAUAACUAGAGUACGGCAGAGGGAGGUGGAAUUCCGCGUGUAGCAGUGAAAUGCGUAGAGAUGCGGAGGAACACCGAUGGCGAAGGCAGCCUCCUGGGCCAGUACUGACGCUCAUGCACGAAAGCGUGGGGAGCAAACAGG
rnacentral:rRNA from 1 species